AAAAUGCGAUAAGUAAUGUGAAUUGCAGAAUUCAGUGAAUCAUCGAAUCUUUGAACGCACAUUGCGCCCACCAGUAUUCUGGCGGGCAUGCCUGUUCGAGCGUCAUUUCAACCCUCAAGCCCCCCGGGUUUGGUGUUGGGGAUCGGGCUGCGGUUCUGCCGCGUCCCGGCCCCGAAAUCUAGUGGCGGUCUCGCUGCAGCCUCCAUUGCGUAGUAGCUAACACCUCGCAACUGGAACGCGGCGCGGCCAAGCCGUUAAACCCCCCAACUUCUGAAUGUUGACCUCGGAUCAGGUAGGAAUACCCGCUGAACUUAAGC
rnacentral:misc_RNA from 1 species